AGUGAACGCUGGCGGUAGGCCUAACACAUGCAAGUCGAACGGCAGCACAGGAGAGCUUGCUCUCUGGGUGGCGAGUGGCGGACGGGUGAGGAAUACAUCGGAAUCUACUUUUUCGUGGGGGAUAACGUAGGGAAACUUACGCUAAUACCGCAUACGACCUACGGGUGAAAGCAGGGGAUCUUCGGACCUUGCGCGAUUGAAUGAGCCGAUGUCGGAUUAGCUAGUUGGCGGGGUAAAGGCCCACCAAGGCGACGAUCCGUAGCUGGUCUGAGAGGAUGAUCAGCCAGACUGAAACUGAGACACGGUCCAGACUCCUACAGGAAGCAGCAGUGGGGAAUAUUGGAAAAUGGGCGCAGGCCUGAUUCAGCCAUGCCGCGUGGGUGAAGAAGGCCUUCGGGUUGUAAAGCCCUUUUGUUGGGAAAGAAAUCCAGCUGGUUAAUACCCGGUUGGGAUGACGGUACCCAAAGAAUAAGCACCGGCUAACUUCGUGCCAGCCGCCGCCGUAA
rnacentral:rRNA from 1 species